GAGACUGCAGUGUGAACAGAAGACACAACAACCCACGGAGUGAAGAAUUCUCUGGGCUGCCCCAGCAAUGCAGAGCAGUGUUCCCCUGGAGAGUGGAUGAACUCAAGCAGAGGGGCAGCCCCAGCCCUGGGCUCAGGGGGAAUGGGAAUCAGGUUUGCCCUUGCGCCCCAGGGUAGCUGGUGAAGGCUGUCUUGGAUAAUCUUCGGCCUCUCCCUUCCAGACUCUUCUUUAAGCAUCCCCAUCCCACCUUAGUAUCCUAGUCCCUCUGCUACUUCCGUGCUUGCCUUCCUGGGACAGUGAUCGUUGCAGUUCCUGCUGACUUGGAGUGCCCCUCCUCGCUCUGUGUCCUGUGAGAAAGCAGAUGAUUCCAAUGUACAGCCAAUGAUGAGCAGCUGCUGGGCUGGAGGGACUGGGGCCAUUUUAUACCAGGUCCUUCGAAUAAUGCCACCGGGCUUGAGAGUAUUGUGCCCCCUCCCUGCCCCUCUCCAAAAGCCACAUUGUCUCUCUGUGUAGCCCCUGUUGGCUGUGAGCACCUUCUCUCCUCCUCUGAUUUCUUUGCAACCCUCCUCUUUGGGACUGCUGCUGUCCCCUGCCUCUCACUCUGCAGCUGUGAACCGGAGACACCUGCACAUCCCUGCAACUCCCUGCAGCUAAACAAGCAGCUUCUCGAGGAACCCUGUGUGCACAAGGAUGUUACACAGAAAUGCCUAAAAAGCAAGGAGCAGCCAUCAGAAUGUUUGGUGACACGGCUCCUCCUGUCGUGGUUCCUUCAGCAUGGACUUCACAUUCAGCAGACCCAUGAGGUGUUCCCUUUCGGAUGAGCUCCAAGGUCUUAAGAGAGCAUCUCUAGUCUGCGUGAGUCCAUCUGAACAACGGUCCUGAGCAAGAACCACCUAUAACCAUCUGCUCAAAAUAACUCAGGGGAAGUCAAAGCUUUCUAUGUGGAAGGUGACUGAAACCACAUACCCAGACCACUGUAGCAUUCCUGACAUUACGGAGCUUGGAAAUGAUUCCAAAUGCGAACAUAGCUUGCUACAUGAGUGACAUGUUUUGCUAUGACAAGAACUUGGAGUGUAAUCCUUCCCCCCUCAAGAAUGUGACAUCACACCUUAUCAGAUCCUACGUGUGAGCUACUGACCUCAACCACUGAACUUCAAACUACGUAAAAACCUAAGGGUUUGACAGACGCUUUGAGAGCUUGGGCUGUGGCAAGCUACACCCUGUCAGCCUCUCUUCGACAGGGCCCCACCCUGCUAGCCUUUGAACUUGGAAGCAUCACCUGCAAACACCGGUGCCACCCUCUAGCGUUGAGGGACCACAUAUGUCUUUGUGAAUCUCCGUUGUGUGGGACGGCUUCUCUCCCAAGAGCUGCUCUUAUAAAAGAGACACACCACAUUUUAAUGAGCCUUCGCUCUCCACAGAGGCCUGCUUCCAUCCUAAUUGAGCAAGUAGACUUUAGUAACUUUGGAACUCAGUCACUCUGUGACUAAUACACCCUGUCUACCCAGCGCAUUCCCUGUGAGAUUUGUUCAUGUUGUUCUCCCCCUCCUUAAGCAUUGUGAACCUAGGAAAAAUAUCAUCUUUGUAGGGCAAUAAACCAUGUGAUUUGUGAAAUCAUA